UACGGAGGGAGCUAGCGUUGUUCGGAAUUACUGGGCGUAAAGCGCACGUAGGCGGCUUCUAAGUCAGGGGGUGAAAUCCUGGAGCUCAACUCCAGAACUGCCUUUGAUACUGGAGAGCUUGAGUCCGGAAGAGGUGAGUGGAACUCCGGAGUGUAGAGGUGAAAUUCGUAGAUAUUACGGAAGAACACCAGUGGCGAAGGCGGCUCACUGGUCCGGUACUGACGCUGAGGUGCGAAAGCGUGGGGAGCAAACAGGG
rnacentral:rRNA from 1 species